ensembl:miRNA
GCCUGCUUCUGUGUGAUAUGUUUGAUAUUGGGUUGUUUAAUUAGGAACCAACUAAAUGUCAAACAUAUUCUUACAGCAGCAGGU